AUAAUAAUUGUUUGUUCUUUAAUGUCAUCCACUGGGGUUUUGUGGAUCUUUUUUAAAAGUAUCAAAGUAGUUAUCGGUACCGUUUUUAACAGUAUCAGUAUCGAGAAAGAAAGAAAAAAUGAUACCCAACCCCAGAGAUUACGUCAGACUCAAACCCUCAUGGAUUAGUGAGAGACGGUUCGGAGGAAUUGUUGAAAAUGGGUCACAUGACGUGUCCUGAUGAUGUCUCGGGUGAUUUAGACUAGACUGUAUAAAUAGUGCAGUUGUGUGAAAGUUGCACCAGACCUGAUCGAGUAUUUCUGACUCAUCUCUCAAUUCAUAACCAGCACAACCAUGUCCAGACCUGUCGGAGGUUACGGUGAGGAAAUAGAUCUGCAUUCAGAGAUUCAGGGCAUCUGUGAGAAGGUAAAACCAAAUGUGGAGAAGAAAGCUGAUCAGAAAUUUCAUACCUUCAUUCCCCUAAGUUUUAUCCAACAAAUUGUUGCUGGAACAAACUACAUAAUCAAGGUAUAUGUUGGACAUGCAGGAGCUGAUGAGUGCAUACAUGUGAAGGUGUUUCAAGCUCUGUCGGGUAAUGGAGGGAAACUGGCGGUUCAUGGACACCAGUACCCCAAAACUAAAGCAGACAUUAUAACAACAUUUUAAGAUGUAACAGCUUCACAUCCUGCAUAACAGACACUCUCUUCUACACACUCCAAUGUUUCACAUGAUUCUUUCUUUCUACAAUGUUGUGAUAUGAUUUACAUGUCAUAAUGUCAUUAUUGUAACACUCUUAUCAUUCAUCAAAUGUGUUUUAUUAAGGUUCAUUAUUCAUUUGGGAAUUUUAUCACUGAAAUAAACUACAAAAACUCACCACAACAGAUAGAAAUGAUGUAGAGAAUGGAUUGUCUGUUAAAUCAUAAAUAAUAUAAAUAAA